UACGAAGGGUGCAAACGUUGCUCGGAAUUAUUGGGCGUAAAGAGCUCGUAGGCGGCUUGUCGCGUCGACUGUGAAAACCCGCGGCUCAACCGUGUGGCCUGCAGUCGAUACGGGCAGGCUAGAGUUCGGUAGGGGAGACUGGAAUUCCUGGUGUAGCGGUGAAAUGCGCAGAUAUCGUCUGGAACGCCAAAGGUGAAAACAGACUGCUGGGAGUGUGCUGACGCUGAGACACGAAAGCCAGGGGAGCAAACGGG
rnacentral:rRNA from 1 species